rnacentral:rRNA from 1 species
UACGUAGGGGGCAAGCGUUGUCCGGAUUUAUUGGGCGUAAAGAGCGUGUAGGCGGCCAGGUAGGUCCGGUGUGAAAACUCGAGGCUUAACCUCGAGGUGUCAUCGGAAACCAUCUGGCUAGAGUCCGGAAGAGGAGAGUGGAAUUCCUGGUGUAGCGGUGAAAUGCGCAGAUAUCAGGAAGAACACCAAUGGCGAAGGCAGCUCUCUGGGACGGUACUGACGCUGAGACGCGAAAAGCGUGGGGGGGCGAACAGG